GACGAACGCUGGCGGCGUGCUUAACACAUGCAAGUCGAACGGAAAGGCCCUGCUUUUGUGGGGUGCUCGAGUGGCGAACGGGUGAGUAACACGUGAGUAACCUGCCCUUGACUUUGGGAUAACUUCAGGAAACUGGGGCUAAUACCGGAUAGGAGCUCCUGCUGCAUGGGGGGGGUUGGAAAGUUUCGGCGGUUGGGGCUGGACUCGCAGCUUAUCAGCUUGUUGGUGGGGUAGUGGCUUACCAAGGCUUUGACGGGUAGCCGGCCUGAGAGGGUGACCGGCCACAUUGGGACUGAGAUACGGCCCAGACUCCUACGGGAGGCAGCAGUGGGGAGUAUUGCACAAUGGGGGGAAGCCUGAUGCAGCAACGCCGCGUGCGGGAUGACGGCCUUCGGGUUGUAAACCGCUUUCGAAUGUGACGAAGCGUGAGUGACGGUAAUGGGUAAAGAAGCCACGGCUAACUACGUG
rnacentral:rRNA from 1 species